UGGGGGAUAUUGCACAAUGGGCGAAAGCCUGAUGCAGCGACGCCGCGUGGGGGAUGAAGGCUUUCGGGUUGUAAACCUCUUUCGCUAUCGAACAAGGCCCGCUUAGGGUGGGUUGAGGGUAGGUGGAGAAGAAGCGCCGGCUAACUACGUGCCAGCAGCCGCGGUAAUACGUAGGGCGCGAGCGUUGUCCGGAAUUAUUGGGCGUAAAGGGCUUGUAGGCGGCUUGUUGCGCCUGCUGUGAAAACGCGGGGCUUAACUUCGCGCGUGAAGUGGGUACGGGCAGGCUUGAGUGUGAUAGGGGUGACUGGAAUUCCAGGUGUAGCGGUGGAAUGCGCAGAUAUCUGGAGGAACACGGAUGGCGAAUGCAGGUCACUGGGCCAUUACUGACGCUGAGGAGCGAAAGCAUGGGUAGCGAACAGG
rnacentral:rRNA from 1 species